GAUGAACGCUGGCGGCGUGCCUAAUACAUGCAAGUCGAGCGAACAGACGAGGAGCUUGCUCCUCUGACGUUAGCGGCGGACGGGUGAGUAACACGUGGAUCACCUCCCUAUAAGUCUGGGAUAACUUCGGGAAACCGGCGCUAAUACCGGAUAAUAUCUUGAACCGCAUGGUUCAAUAGUGAAAGACGGUUUUGCUGUCACUUAUCGAUGGAUACGCGCUGCAUUAGCCAGUUGGUAAGGUAACGGCUUAUCACGGCAACGAUGCGUAGCCGACCUGAGAGGGGGAUCGGCCACACUGGAACUGAGACAGGGUCCAGACUCCUACGGGAGGCAGCAGUAGGGAAUCUUCCGCAAUGGGCGAAAGCCUGACGGAGCAGCGCCGCGUGAGAUAUGGAGGUCUUCGGAUCGUGAAACUCUGUUAUUAGGGAAGAACAAAUGUGUAAGUAACUAUGCACGGCGUGACGGUACCUAAUCAGAAAGCCACGGCUAACUACGUG
rnacentral:rRNA from 1 species